UCAAGUUAUUAAGGGUGCAGGGCGGAUGCCUUGGCACUAGGAGCCGAUGAAGGACGUGAUAAGCUGCGAUAAGCUUCGGGGAGUUGCACGUAAACUUUGAUCCGAAGAUUUCCGAAUGAGGAAACUCACUUAGAGUAAUGUCUAAGUAUCAUUAAGUGAAUACAUAGCUUAAUGAGGGGAACUCAGGGAACUGAAACAUCUAAGUACCUGAAGGAAGAGAAAGAAAUUCGAUUCCGUAAGUAGCGGCGAGCGAACGCGGAUUAGCCCAAACCAAUAAAGUUUUCUUUAUUGGGGUUGCGGACAUAUCAUAACGAAGAGGUAUCGUAAUUGAAGAGGUUUGGAAAGACCCACCACAGAAGGUAAUAGUCCUGUAUGUUAAACGAGAAGACUUUAGAUAUGAUCCAGAGUACCACGGGACACGUGAAACCCUGUGGGAAGCAGGAGGGACCACCCUCCAAGGCUAAAUACUACCUAGUGACCGAUAGCGUAUAGUACCGUGAGGGAAAGGUGAAAAGAACCCCGGGAGGGGAGUGAAAUAGAACCUGAAACCGUGUGCCUACAACCGGUCAAAGCCCCUUAUGAGGGUGAUGACGUGCUUUUUGUAGAACGAGCCAACGAGUUACGGUAUGUAGCAAGGUUAAGUACUUAAGGUACGGAGCCGAAGGGAAACCGAGUCUUAAUAGGGCGACUAGUUGCAUGCCGUAGACCCGAAACCGGGUGACCUAUCCAUGGCCAGGUUGAAGCGAGGGUAAAACUUCGUGGAGGACCGAACCACGUUGCUGUUGAAAAAGCAUGGGAUGAGCUGUGGAUAGCGGAGAAAUUCCAAUCGAACUCGGAGAUAGCUGGUUCUCCCCGAAAUAGCUUUAGGGCUAGCGUCGGAUAUGUGUAGUGGAGGUAGAGCACUGAAUGGGCUAGGGGGCAUAUCGCUUACCGAACCUUAUCAAACUCCGAAUGCCAUAUACAUUAAGUCCGGCAGUCAGACUACGAAUGAUAAGAUCCGUGGUCAAAAGGGAAACAGCCCAGACCGUCAGCUAAGGUCCCAAAGUGUAAGUUAAGUGGAAAAGGAUGUGGGAUUUCUAAGACAACUAGGAUGUUGGCUUAGAAGCAGCCACUCAUUUAAAGAGUGCGUAAUAGCUCACUAGUCGAGAGAUCCUGCGCCGAAAAUGUACCGGGGCUAAACUUACCACCGAAGCUACGGAUUUGCAAGUAAUUGCAAGUGGUAGGGGAGCGUCGUAAUCGGGCUGAAGUCGUACCGGAAGGAGCGGUGGACUGAUUACGAGUGAGAAUGUUGGCAUUAGUAGCGAGAUGUAGGUGAGAAUCCUACAGGCCGAAUAUCUAAGGUUUCCUCAGGAAGGCUCGUCCGCUGAGGGUUAGUCGGGACCUAAGCCGAGGCCGAAAGGCGUAGGCGAUGGACAAUCGGUUGAUAUUCCGAUACCACUACCAUCGUUAUUAUCGAGGGUGUGACGGAGAAGGAUAGUGUGUGCUAGCGAUUGGAAAUGCUAGUCUAAGCGUUUAGGGAGUUACGGUAGGCAAAUCCGCUGUAACAAUUCUGAGGCGUGAUGGGGAAGGUCAUUAAGACCGAAGUACAUGAUUCCAUGCUUCCAAGAAAAGCAUCUAGAGAGAGAAGUAGUGCCCGUACCGCAAACCGACACAGGUAGAUGAGGAGAGAAUCCUAAGGCCGGCGGAAGAAUUGCAGUUAAGGAACUAGGCAAAUUGACCCCGUAAGUUCGCGAGAAGGGGUGCCUGCGAGAGCAGGCCGCAGAGAAUAGGCCCAAGCAACUGUUUAGCAAAAACACAGGUCUCUGCUAAAGCGUAAGCUGAUGUAUAGGGGCUGACGCCUGCCCGGUGCUGGAAGGUUAAGGGGAACACUUAGCGCAAGCGAAGGUGUGAACUUAAGCCCCAGUAAACGGCGGCCGUAACUAUAACGGUCCUAAGGUAGCGAAAUUCCUUGUCGGGUAAGUUCCGACCCGCACGAAAGGCGUAACGAUUUGGGCACUGUCUCAACAACAGACUCGGUGAAAUUGUAAUUCCGGUGAAGAUGCCGGAUACCUGCGACAGGACGGAAAGACCCCAUGGAGCUUUACUGUAGCUUGACAUUGGGUCUUGGUACUACAUGUACAGGAUAGGUGGGAGGCUUUGAAACCAGGACGCCAGUUUUGGCGGAGCCAUCCUUGGGAUACCACCCUUGUAGUACUGGGACUCUAACCAUAGGCCAUGAAUCUGGUCUUGGGACACUGUCAGGUGGGCAGUUUGACUGGGGCGGUCGCCUCCCAAAAGGUAACGGAGGCGCUCAAAGGUUCUCUCAGUACGGUCGGAAAUCGUACGUAGAGUGUAAAGGCAAAAGAGAGCUUGAUUGCAAGACAUACAGGUCGAGCAAGGAUGAAAAUCGGACUUAGUGAUCCGGUGGUUCUGCGUGGAAGGGCCAUCGCUCAACGGAUAAAAGCUACCCUGGGGAUAACAGGCUUAUCUCCCCCAAGAGUCCACAUCGACGGGGAGGUUUGGCACCUCGAUGUCGGCUCAUCACAUCCUGGGGCUGUAGUAGGUCCCAAGGGUUGGGCUGUUCGCCCAUUAAAGUGGUACGCGAGCUGGGUUCAGAACGUCGUGAGACAGUUCGGUCCCUAUCCGUCGCAGGCGUAGGAAAUUUGAGAAGACCUGUCCUUAGUACGAGAGGACCGGGAUGGACGUACCUCUGGUGUACCAGUUGUCCUGCCAAGGGCAUGGCUGGGUAGCUAUGUACGGAAUGGAUAAGCGCUGAAAGCAUCUAAGCGCGAAGCCAACUUCAAGAUAAGAUUUCCCACCGCAAGGGUAAGACCCCAGAAAGACUAUCUGGUUGAUAGGUCGAAGGUGUAAGUGCAGCAAUGUAUUUAGCUUAUCGAUACUAAUAGGUCGAGGACUUGACCAA
rnacentral:rRNA from 1 species